UUAUGAUGAUGAUUAUGAUGAUGAUGAUGAUGAUGAUUAUGAUGAUGAUGAUGAUGAUCAUCAUCAUCAUCAUCAUCGCGAAUGUUA
rnacentral:pre_miRNA from 1 species